CCUACGGGAGGCAGCAGUGGGGGAUAUUGCACAAUGGGGGAAACCCUGACGCAGCGACGCCGCGUGUGGGAAGACGGCCCUCUGGAUUGUAAACUACUGUCCCCAGGGACGAAGAUGACGGUACCUGGGGAGGAAGCUCCGGCUAACUACGUGCCAGCAGCCGCGGUAAUACGUAGGGAGCGAGCGUUGUCCGGAUUUACCGGGGUGAAAGGGAGUGUAGGCGGGGAGGCCAGCGGGAGGUGAAAGCUAACGGCUUAAACGGGAAUUCGCAUUUGAAACUGAGGCUCUUGAGUGAAGUAGAGGCAGGCGGAAUUCCUAGUGUAGCGGUGAAAUGCGUAGAUAUUAGGAGGAACACCAGUGGCGAAGGCGGCCUGCUGGACUUUAACUGACGCUGAGGCUCGAAAGUGUGGGGAGCAAACAGGAUUAGAUACCCCGGUAGUC
rnacentral:rRNA from 1 species